AGAGUUUGAUCAUGGCUCAGAUUGAACGCUGGCGGCAGGCCUAACACAUGCAAGUCGAGCGCCCCGCAAGGGGAGCGGCAGACGGGAGAGUAACACGUGGGAACGUACCCUUCAGUUCGGAACAACUCAGGGAAACUUGGGCUAAUACCGAAUACGUCCGUAAGGAGAAAGAUUUAUCGCUGAAGGAUCGGCCCGCGUCU
rnacentral:rRNA from 1 species